CAGUAGCCACGGGAAUACGAAGGGUGCAAGCGUUACUCGGAAUUACUGGGCGUAAAGCGUGCGUAGGUGGUGGUUUAAGUCCGUUGUGAAAGCCCUGGGCGCAACCUGGGAAUUGCAGUGGAUACUGGGUCACUAGAGUGUGGUAGAGGAUAGUGGAAUUUCCGGUGUAGCAGUGAAAUGCGUAGAGAUCGGAAGGAACAUCUGUGGCGAAGGCGACUAUCUGGGCCAACACUGACACUGAGGCACGAAAGCGUGGGGAGCAAACAGGAUUAGAUACCCCUGUAGUCCCUGUCUCUUAUAC
rnacentral:rRNA from 1 species